CCACAUCAUGUUAAAACCCCUGUUUCUGUACAAUCCCCGAAGUUAAGCAAUGGUCCACCUAGUCAGUACUUAGAUGAGUGACCAUUUGGGAAUACCAGAUGCUGUAA